UUUGGGUGGGAUUCCGCCCGUUUGGGUUCAGCCAAACUCUGCUUUUUUUGUAGGGCCGCGCCUCCAAAGCCCCCGAGGGCGGCCCCCGCAGCCGCCGUGGGGCGAGACCCCCCCUGAAAGCGGGCGAGGAAGAGGAGGAGGAGGAAGAGGAGGAGGAGGAAGAGGAAGAAGACGACGACGACGAGGAAGAGGAAGAGGGCAAGCCGGGCCCCGCCCCCUGUCAAGCCCCGCCCCCUUCCCCUCCCGCCCCGCCCCCUUCGCUUGACCAGCCCCUCCCAUUGGACAAAGCCCCGCCCGUCACCCCCGAAGCCCCGCCCUCGCAGGGCCAAGCCCCGCCCACGGAGGGCGAAGCCCCGCCCCCUGUUGCCGAAGCCACGCCCACACAGCCCCAAACCCCGCCCCCAGAGAGCGUGGCCACGCCCACUGAAAUACAGACCACGCCCCCUGCGGUCGAAGCCCCGCCCCCCGUGAUGGAAGCCCCGCCUCCACCGACCGAAGCCACGCCCACCAGCAGCAUGGCCACGCCCCCUCCCCCCUGCCGUUGGUGCAGGGGGCGGAGCCUGUGGCCCCGCCCACCGCAGAGGAGCCAAUCCCGCUUCCCCUGAGCAAAGAGCCCGCCCCCGAGGGCGGAGCUAUUGCGGAUACCCCGCCCACAGACGAGGCCCCGCCCCCCUCCUCGCCCCGAGGGCGCAGCCAAUCGUCUUCCUCCUCCUCG
rnacentral:lncRNA from 1 species